UCAAGUUGAAAUUUCUUGCUCAUAAAUUCUGUAUCAUUAGCAAAUUCUUUUCUUUUCUUGAAGGCAAUUCAUUAGGUUCUCUAGGAUACAAAAACAUUCAUACAACAUAUUUCUUAACUAGAUGACUCAACAUGAGACAUGACAAUAAUUGAAUUUGAGUCACUUUACUCAAGAGAUUGCCUAAGUAUAAGCAAGCACAAGUCACUUGAACUAAAGAGAUAACUUCAUUAAGUAAAAUGGUUCAAGGACAAGCAUGUGAGGCAAUAGAAAGAUUCAUUAAAGUUAAAUCAAAAUUUUUUUGUUUUCAGAAUCAAUUUAACUUAGAUUCUAUUUGCAUAAGAUAAUUAUCAAUAAAGUAUACAAGUUGAAUUUUAAUCAAAUUAUCUUAAGUAGUUGUUUCCAUCAAAAUUAUGAUUAUGAUUUAGCUUUCAACACAGAUACUCUUGUUUCAGGAAGACAAGCAAUCUUCUUGUAGAAAAGAAUAAGAAAUAUUUUUGACUUAUGAGAGAUAGCUCAAGCAAAUUAAUAUUCAUG
rnacentral:lncRNA from 1 species